rnacentral:rRNA from 1 species
GACGUAGGGCGCGAGCGUUGUCCGGAUUUAUUGGGCGUAAAGAGCUCGUAGGCGGCUUGUCGCGUCGACUGUGAAAACCCGAGGCUCAACCUCGGGCCUGCAGUGGGUACGGGCAGACUAGAGUGCGGUAGGGGAGAUUGGAAUUCCUGGUGUAGCGGUGGAAUGCGCAGAUAUCAGGAGGAACACCAAUGGCGAAGGCAGAUCUCUGGGCCGUAACUGACGCUGAGGAACGAAAGCCAGGGGAGCAAAAGGG